rnacentral:rRNA from 1 species
CACGUAGGGGGCAAGCGUUGUCCGGAUUUAUUGGGCGUAAAGAGCUCGUAGGCGGUUUCGUAAGUCGGGUGUGAAAACUCUAGGCUCAACCUAGAGACGCCACCCGAUACUGCGAUGACUAGAGUCCGGUAGGGGAGUGUGGAAUUCCUGGUGUAGCGGUGGAAUGCGCAGAUAUCAGGAGGAACACCGGUGGCGAAGGCGGGUCUCUGGGCAGUAACUGACGCUGAGGAGCGAAAGCGUGGGGAGCGAACAGG